AGCUAGUUGGUAAGGUAAAAGCUUACCAAGGCUAUGACGGAUAGUUGGUCUGAGAGGAUGACCAGCCACAAUGGAACUGAGACACGGUCCAUACUCCUACGGGAGGCAGCAGUGAGGAAUCUUCCACAAUGGACGAAAGUCUGAUGGAGCGACACCGCGUGAAGGAUGAUGGCCUAACGGUUGUAAACUUCUUUUCUGAAGGAGCAUAAUGAGAGUACUUCAGGAAUAAGGGACGGCUAAUUACGUGCCAGCAGCCGCGGUAAUACGUAAGUCCCAAGUGUUAUCCGGAAUUAUUGGGUGUAAAGGGUUCGUAGGCGGACUAAAAAGUUGGAUAUUAAAGACCGAGGCUCAACCUCGUGUUCGUGUCCAAAACUACUAGUCUAGAAUUAGGGAGAGGUUAGCGGAAUUCUGUGUGUAGGGGUGCAAUCCUAGAUACACAGAGGAACACCAAAAGCGAAGGCAGCUAACUGGAACUAUAUUGACGCUGAGGAACGAAAGCGUGGGUAGCGAAAAGGAUUAGAUACCCUUGUAGUCCACGCCCUAAACGAUGAUAACUAAGUGUUGGGACUUGAUCCCAGUGCUGAAGAUAACGCAUUAAGUUAUCCACCUGAGGAGUACGGUCGCAAGAUUAAAACUCAAAGGAAUAGACGGGGACCCACACAAGCAGUGGAUCACGUGGUUUAAUUCGAUAAUAAACGGGGAACCUUACCCAGACUUGACAUCCUAAGAAUCUUUGAGAGAUCGAAGAGUGCCUUUAUUGGAACUUAGUGACAGGUGCUGCAUGGUUGUCGUCAGCUCGUGCCUUGAGGUGUUCGGUUAAGUCCGUUAACGAGCGCAACCCAUGUCUUUAGUUAUAAUGUCUAAAGAGACUGCCUUGGUUGACAAGGAGGAAGGUGUGGAUGACGUCAAAUCAGCAUGGCUUUUACGUCUGGGGCUACACACAUGAUACAAUGGUACGUACAAAGGGUUGCAAUACAGCGAUGUUGAGCUAAUCCUUAAAGCGUAUCUUAGUCCGGAUUGGAGUCUGCAACUCGACUCCAUGAAGUUGGAAUUGCUAGUAAUCGUGAAUCAGAUAUGUCACGGUGAAUAUGUUCCUGGGUCUUGUACUCACCGCCCGUCACGGCAUGGGAGGUAGUAAUAUCGGAAGCUCCCUCGGUAAUAGAGGGGUCCAUGGUAGGACUACUGACUGGGCUGAAGUCGUAACAAGGUAUCCGUAGGAGAACCUGCGGAUG
rnacentral:rRNA from 1 species